AUUGAACGCUGGCGGCAUGCUUUACACAUGCAAGUCGAACGGUAACAGGCCGCAAGGUGCUGACGAGUGGCGAACGGGUGAGUAAUGCAUCGGAACGUGCCCAGUCGUGGGGGAUAACGCAGCGAAAGCUGCGCUAAUACCGCAUACGAUCGAUGGAUGAAAGCGGGGGACCGUAAGGCCCCGCGCGAUUGGAGCGGCCGAUGUCAGAUUAGGUAGUUGGUGGGGUAAAGGCUCACCAAGCCAACGAUCUGUAGCUGGUAUGAGAGGACGAACAGCCACACUGGGACUGAGACACGGCCCAGACUCCUACGGGAGGCAGCAGUGGGGAAUUUUGGACAAUGGGCGCAAGCCUGAUCCAGCAAUGCCGCGUGCAGGAAGAAGGCCUUCGGGUUGUAAACUGCUUUUGUACGGAACGAAACGGUCCUGGUUAAUACCUGGGGCUAAUGACGGUACCGUAAGAAUAAGCACCGGCUAACUACGUGCCAGCCGCCGCAGUAAUAC
rnacentral:rRNA from 1 species